rnacentral:rRNA from 1 species
GAUGAACGCUAGCGGCAGGCUUAAUACAUGCAAGUCGAGGGGCAGCAGGACUGUAGCAAUACAGUUGCUGGCGACCGGCAAACGGGUGCGGCACACGUACGCAACCUACCCAAAACUGGGGGAUAGCCCGGGGAAACCCGGAUUAAUACCUCGUAACCUUUUUAAGUGGCAUCACUUGAUAAGUAUAGCUCCGGCGGUUUUGGAUGGGCGUGCGCCUGAUUAGGUAGUUGGUGCGGGUAACGGCUCACCAAGCCUGCGAUCAGUAACUGGUGUGAGGGCACGACCAGUGACACGGGCACUGGGACACGGGCCAGACUGCUACGGGAGGCAGCAGUAAGGAAGAUUGGUCAAUGGACGCAAGUCUGAACCAGCCAUGCCGCGUGAAGGAAGAAGGUCCUCUGGAUUGUAAACUUCUUUUAUGGGGGACGAAACCCGGAUAUUCUUAUCCGAUUGACGGUACCUCAGGAAUAAGCACCGGCUAACUCCGUG